AGCUCCAAUAGCGUAUAUUAAAGUUGUUGCAGUUAAAAAGCUCGUAGUUGGAUUUCUGGUCGGGACGGUCGGUCCGCCCCUCACGGGGUGUGCACCAUGGCCCAGUUCCGGCCAUCCUCGGGGAGAACGCGUGCUGGCAUUAAGUUGUCGGUCGCGGUAUCCCCGUCAUUUACUGUGAGCAAAAUAGAGUGUUCAAAGCAGGCUUAAGCCGUUGAAUACAUUAGCAUGGAAUAAUAAGAUACGACCUUGGGUCUAUUUUGUUGGUUUGCGGUCCGAGGUAAUGAUUAAUAGGGAUAGUUGGGGGUAUUCGUAUUCAAUUGUCAGAGGUGAAAUUCUUGGAUUUAUGGAAGACGAACUACUGCGAAAGCAUUUACCAAGGAUGUUUUCA
rnacentral:rRNA from 1 species